GAAUUUUCAAAUCGUAAAUAUUACGGUCUUUCAAUACAAGUAUAACUGACCUCUGCUUAGAAUUUUUUUUUCGUUAGCGAUGAUUAAUCUUUGUGUAUAUUAAAUUUCCUCUCUAUCUAUUAUAUGUUUUACUUCAAUUUAUAGUGGCCUACCAUUUUGUGUAAUAAUGUCCACUUUUUUUUACUUGUGAUACGGUGAACUAUAUUUUAAUUACGAAUUGUGCAUAAGAGACGUUCAAGUAUUUGUAUUAAGCAAACUAAGGAUAAAUGAGGUAGUCG